UAGAGUACUAAUUUGAUUAAGGAAAAAUCAUGUUCAUUCAUAAUUUUCAUUUUAAAAGUGUAUUCAUUCGUUCUGCAAAUCCAUACUGUCAUGCCUAUUCCCCAAUAUCGUCAACGCGGAUAGUUCGUUAGUCGAAAAUACUGAAUAAUUAAACAAACCAAAUGGCAUCACUGGUGGUUCUUUUUUCCACUCCGCUAAACUGUCAUCUCAAACAAAAACAAAUGGAUCAUACAACUGCUAUGAAUACAUUCGACUCGUUUGCUUCCAUCAAUCGGUAAGUGAGAAAGAUGAUUUCUCCCAUCACCACAGUGCGGAUUUCCACUUCUAUCACAGCAGCCAACAACAUCCGUUUUCCUGCAGCAGUAACCUCCAACCCCUGUUGGCAAUGCCGGGGGACAGCAUCAACAGCAGCAGCAGCAGAAUUUGACCAUGGUAUGGUUUGCGAAGAACUUUCCCCAUUAGAGGUUCCGUGCUUCGCGCACAUUCAAAAAUCCUCUUCAGACACGAAAACUCAACGACAAGGAGGUAUUUAUCAACUUGCUCAGCUGAAUUACCACCCCGGAGGAACCCGAAUGCACUGAUUCCGUAGUAUAGUAGAAUGAAAAUAGGCGAGGUUAGCGAACGUAAUCGCAUGAUAUUUUAAUGUUCGCAUUUUUAUCCGGAUCAUACAACUGCUAUGAAUACAUCCGACUCAAUCAAUCGGCGAGUGAGAAAGAUGAUUUCCCUCAUCACCACAUUGCUUAUUUCCACUUCUGUCACACCAGCCAACAGCAUCAGCUUUCCCGCAGCAGUAUCCUUUAAGUCCAGGGUGCUAUUCCGGGGAACAGCAUCAACAGCAACAGCAGCAGGACCUGGCCAUCGAUAGUAUUUCGAGCAAUUUUCCCCAUCGGAGAUCCCGUGCUUCACGCACAUUGAAGAAUCCUCCUCAGCCACAUAUCUGUGUCAUCAAGGGCAAGGAGGUAUUCAUCAAUGUACUCAGUCGGAUUUGAAUCGUCAAUCCAGACAACCCGGAUGCACCGCUUCCAUUAUAUACCUUAUGUUUAUUAUACAUGGUUUUUUAUUAUUAUUUUUUCAAUAAAAUGAUUAAAAUCGA